ACCGAGGCCACAACAAUCCGAGGCGGCAGCCAGCAAGGGCCGGAGGAGAUAACCCUUGGUACAGUUUCCUUCGCAAACGGCGGAAAUGGAGUGGAGGCGGAUGGGGGAUAUCAGGACAGGGAAAAUUAUUGGACGUGGCACUGAGCGGAAUGGGCUGUAUUAUGUGGAUGAGAUAGAGCAACACGGAAAUGCUAUGAUGGCUCACGGGACGGCUGGCAGGGAGGCUUGGUUGUGGCACCGCCGUCUAGGACAUUCUUCAUCGGGUUAUUUAAAAUUGCUUUUUCCUAAAUUCAGUAAGGAUUUGUAUUGUGAAACCUGUGUUUUGGCCAAAAGCCACAGACAAACCUACAAAUCAAAUAAUACCAGAGUUGAUUC